AUCCUCAGCAAUGGGCUACGAGACAGCUGGUUUGCGAUGCUGUUCUUACAUCAGUCAGGAGCAGAACAGAAUGCCGUUCGUUGUUCAUCCUAGCUUGAUGCCUGGCUUGGUGGACAAAGCUGUCCUAUGCCUAGGACUCAUAA